rnacentral:rRNA from 1 species
AUGUUACACACAUGCGCAAAGAAACUGCACUUCCCUUCACACCGGCACAUUGACAAAUACACCAGAGAGCUGGUAUCUCAACUGCGUCAGAAUAAUGUCAACCUCAGCAAAGUUUACAGCAUAAUUGACACUUUUUUUGGUCGCAUAGAGAAUGUUUCUUUCACCAAGAGAUGCCCGAGGACCUUGUGCGCGAAACUAAGCAGAUACAAGGCAGAUGAGGAUGUUAAGAAGACAAUGGAUUAUUUUGCUGAGCUGAAGCAGUCUAACCCUGAAUUCACUUAUACAGUUCGUGUAGACAGUGAGAGUAGAGUUAGAACACUGAUAUGGACAACUGGGAAGAGCAAAUUACAGUACCACUACUUUGGUGAUGUUGUUAUGUUUGAUACUACCUACAGGACAAAUCUAUACAACAUGCCAUUCGGACUAUUCGUUUGUGUCAACAACCAUUUCCAGAGUGUCAUAUACGUAGGCGUACUUAUGCGUGAUGAGAAAGUAGAGAGCUUUAACUGGGUUUUUUGGUAA